UGUGGUGCUGAGGAAUCGAGCCCAGGGCCUCAUGCAUGCAAGGAUCAGCAUGCUCUUUUCCUGGGAGGAGAAGGAGGGCACCCCUGGAAUGCAAGUUUAUGAGCUGCUUCAUCAGAGAAGGUCUUAGAGAUCUUUCAGCUUCUGAAGUUCUGCAAAGGCCAAGCCAUAACUCUUCAAACGAAUGCCUGCAAUUUCUUUUCCUCCUUCCUAAUUUGGAAUGACUGAGAACUAAAUCCUGAAUGUUCAGAUCCUUGGUGGAAUCUCAGGUCACCUUGCAGCUGGCCUUUCCCCAGGACCCAAAGAAGCACUGAGAGUUAAAGUCCAAAGUCUUGUGUAACCCCCGCUUUCACUAUAUUUGAUGUCAGUAUAACUUGU